GACAGCUGGCUUGUCCGAACUAUUAGCCCGCCAGCUUUUACCAUACAAGCUGGUGGAGUCUGAGGCGUUCAAAAAAUUUGUAGCUAUUGGGACACCGCAGUGGAAGGUACCCGGCAGAAAUUUCUUUUCACAAAAGGCAAUCCCCAACCUGUACUCAAUUGUGCAAAAGGAAGUAAUAGCAUCUCUGGCACACAGUGUUGGGGCAAGGGUCCAUUUGACCACUGAUACCUGGUCUGCAAAGCAUGGUCAGGGCAGGUAUAUCACCUACACCGCGCAUUGGGUAAACCUGCUGACUGCUGCCAAGCAUGGAAUGCAUGGCUCUGCAGAGGAGUUGGUGACACCGCCACGA